rnacentral:lncRNA from 1 species
GGGUAAUAAUAUGCUGAAGGCUAGCUGUAUUGGGUACAGAUGAUAAUAUGUAGGGGUAAUAAUAUGUUGAAGGCUAGCUGUAUUGGGUACAGAUGAUAAUAUGUAGGGGUAAUAAUAUGCUGAAGGCUAGCUGUAUUGGGUACAGAUGAUAAUAUGUAGGGGUAAUAAUAUGCUGAAGGCUAGCUGUAUUGGGUACAGAUGAUAAUAUGUAGGCUAUAAUAAUAUGCUGAAGGCUAGCUGUAUUGGGUACAGAUGAUAAUAUGUAGGGGUAAUAAUAUGCUGAAGGCUAGCUGUAUUGGGUACAGAUGAUAAUAUGUAGGCUAAUAUGCUGAAGGCUAGCUGUAUUGGGUACAGAUGAUAAUAUGUAGGCUAUAAUAAUAUGCUGAAGGCUAGCUGUAUUGGGUACAGAUGAUAAUAUGUAGGGGUAAUAAUAUGUUGAAGGCUAGCUGUAUUGGGUACAGAUGAUAAUAUGUAGGGGUAAUAAUAUGUUGAAGGCUAGCUGUAUUGGGUACAGAUGAUAAUAUGUAGGGGUAAUAAUAUGCUGAAGGCUAGCUGUAUUGGGUACAGAUGAUAAUAUGGGUAAUAAUAUGCUGAAGGCUAGCUGUAUUGGGUACAGAUGAUAAUAUGUAGGGGUAAUAAUAUGUUGAAGGCUAGCUGUAUUGGGUACAGAUGAUAAUAUGUAGGGGUAAUAAUAUGCUGAAGGCUAGCUGUAUUGGGUACAGAUGAUAAUAUGUAGGGGUAAUAAUAUGCUGAAGGCUAGCUGUAUUGGGUACAGAUGAUAAUAUGUAGGGGUAAUAAUAUACUGAAGGCUAGCUGUAUUGGGUGCAGAUGAUAAUAUGUAGGCUAUAAUAAUAUGUUGAAGGCUAGCUGUAUUGGGUACAGAUGAUAAUAUGUAGGGGUAAUAAUAUGUUGAAGGCUAGCUGUAUUGGGUACAGAUGAUAAUAUGUAGGGGUAAUAAUAUGCUGAAGGCUAGCUGUAUUGGGUACAGAUGAUAAUAUGUAGGCUAUAAUAAUAUGCUGAAGGCUAGCUGUAUUGGGUACAGAUGAUAAUAUGUAGGCUAAUAUGUUGAAGGCUAGCUGUAUUGGGUACAGAUGAUAAUAUGUAGGGGUAAUAAUAUGUUGAAGGCUAGCUGUAUUGGGUACAGAUGAUAAUAUGUAGGCUAAUAUGUUGAAGGCUAGCUGUAUUGGGUACAGAUGAUAAUAUGUAGGGGUAAUAAUAUGCUGAAGGCUAGCUGUAUUGGGUACAGAUGAUAAUAUGUAGGCUAUAAUAAUAUGCUGAAGGCUAGCUGUAUUGGGUACAGAUGAUAAUAUGUAGGCUAAUAUGCUGAAGGCUAGCUGUAUUGGGUACAGAUGAUAAUAUGUAGGGGUAAUAAUAUGCUGAAGGCUAGCUGUAUUGGGUACAGAUGAUAAUAUGUAGGCUAUAAUAAUAUGUUGAAGGCUAGCUGUAUUGGGUACAGAUGAUAAUAUGUAGGCUAAUAUACUGAAGGCUAGCUGUAUUGGGUACAGAUGGUAAUAUGUAGGGGUAAUAAUAUGUUGAAGGCUAGCUGUAUUGG